CCUACGGGAGACAGCAGUGAGGAAUAUUGGUCAAUGGACGAGAGUCUGAACCAGCCAAGUAGCGUGAAGGAUGACUGCCCUAUGGGUUGUAAACUUCUUUUAUAUGGGAAUAAAAUGUUCCACGUGUGCGUUUUUGUAUGUACUUUAUGAAUAAGGAUCGGCUAACUCCGUGCCAGCAGCCGCGGUAAUACGGAGGAUCCGAGCGUUAUCCGGAUUUAUUGGGUUUAAAGGGAGCGUAGGUGGGUUGUUAAGUCAGUUGUGAAAGUUUGCGGCUCAACCGUAAAAUUGCAGUUGAUACUGGCAGUCUUGAGUACAGUAGAGGUAGGCGGAAUUCGUGGUGUAGCGGUGAAAUGCUUAGAUAUCACGAAGAACUCCGAUUGCGAAGGCAGCUUACUAAACUGUGACUGACAUUGAUGCUCGAAAGUGUGGGUAUCAAACAGGAUUAGAUACCCGAGUAGUC
rnacentral:rRNA from 1 species